rnacentral:rRNA from 1 species
AUGGCGUCCAGGGCUGCGACGAUGGUGGUGCUGCUGCUCGCGGCGGUGGCGGCGACGGCAACGUGCGCGCAGGCGCAGCUGCACGAGAAGUUCUACAGCGAGUCGUGCCCCAGCGUGGAGGACGUCGUGAGGAGGGAGAUGGUGAGGGCGCUGUCCCUGGCGCCCAGUCUCGCCGGGCCGCUCCUCCGGAUGCACUUCCACGACUGCUUCGUCAGGGGGUGUGACGGGUCGGUGCUGCUGGACUCGGCCAACAAGACGGCGGAGAAGGACGCGCUGCCGAACCAGACUCUCCGCGGCUUCGGCUUCAUCGAGAGGGUGAAGGCCGCCGUGGAGAAGGCCUGCCCCGACACCGUCUCCUGCGCCGACCUGCUCGCCAUCAUUGCCAGGGACGCAGUCUGGCUGAGCAAGGGGCCAUUCUGGGAAGUUCUUCUCGGCCGGCGAGACGGCAGCGUGUCCAUCUCCAACGACACCGACGCGCUGCCACCCCCGACCGCCAACUUCACCGUGCUCACCCAGAACUUCGCCGCCGUGAACCUCGACGCCAAGGACCUCGUCGUCCUCUCAGCCGCGCACACGAUCGGGACGUCGCACUGCUUCUCCUUCUCGGACCGGCUCUACAACUUCACCGGCAUGGAGAACGCCAGCGACAUCGACCCCUCGCUGGAGCCGCAGUACAUGAUGAAGCUCAAGAGCAAGUGCGCCAGCCUCAACGAUAACACCACACUCGUGGAGAUGGACCCCGGCAGCUUCAAGACCUUCGACACCGACUACUUCAAGCUGGUGAGCAAGCGCAGGGGCCUCUUUCACUCUGACGGCGCCCUCCUCACCGAUCCCUUCACCCGCGCCUACGUCCAGCGCCAUGCCACCGGCGCCUUCAAGGACGAGUUCUUCGCCGACUUCGCCGUCUCCAUGGUCAAGAUGGGCAACAACCAGGUGCUCACCGGCAGCCAGGGCGAGAUCAGGAAGAAGUGCAGUGUGGCUAAUCAUUAA